rnacentral:lncRNA from 1 species
ACCAGAAGCAGAGGCUGGCACCAUGUUUGUUAUGCAGCCUGCAGAACCAGAAAUCAUGGGAAAAACUGCCCAUUUCUGUUUUGUCCACUUUGCUUUGGGAAGUGAGAGCUAUAGUCAUUAUCACCACAUCCCCUGGCAUCCAAUUCCACAUUCUACCUCAGAAGUUAUUUGGAGGAAUCCAAGGACUUAGAUAUUUUACCAAUGUCUCUGGUGAUUUUUAUAUCGGUGGCCCAUGGGUGUUGACCUAUGAAACUGCUCUGCAGCAGAUAUUGAGAAAUAGGAGUUCAGGUAGUGAGACGAGCAUGAGUGGAGCAGGAGACGGCUGUCCCCCACCCACAAGGAAUAUCAGAUGAUGGUUCAGCGAUCAUCACAUUGCCUCUCUGAAAGUGAUAAAUUGGCAGCUGGCACCAGGGAGAGGCUAUUUCCUGAUGGCCCACACCUGUUGCACUAAGAUGUUAAUCGAAUGCAGAUUCCAGGGAGAAACAACUUCCUGGGCAUGUGCGUAAGAGACAAAAUGGCAGUAAAAAUUAGAGAAUGAGAUCAGAAUAUGGAUACAUUGCAAGAGGUGGAGCCCUGGAACAAAAGUAAGAG